rnacentral:rRNA from 1 species
GACGAACGCUGGCGGCGUGCCUAAUACAUGCAAGUCGAGCGGACUUUCAAGAAGCUUGCUUUUUGAAAGUUAGCGGCGGACGGGUGAGUAACACGUGGGCAACCUGCCUGCAAGACGGGGAUAACUCCGGGAAACCGGGGCUAAUACCGGAUAAUAUCUUCCUUCGCAUGAAGGAAGGUUGAAAGGCGGCGCAAGCUGCCGCUUGCAGAUGGGCCCGCGGCGCAUUAGCUAGUUGGUGAGGUAACGGCUCACCAAGGCGACGAUGCGUAGCCGACCUGAGAGGGUGAUCGGCCACACUGGGACUGAGACACGGCCCAGACUCCUACGGGAGGCAGCAGUAGGGAAUCUUCCGCAGUGGACGAAAGUCUGACGGAGCAACGCCGCGUGAGCGAAGAAGGUCUUCGGAUCGUAAAGCUCUGUUGUCAGGGAAGAACAAGUACCGUUCGAACAGGGCGGUACCUUGACGGUACCUGACCAGAAAGCCACGGCUAACUACGUG